rnacentral:misc_RNA from 1 species
GAUAGUCAAUAGCUAUACACUGGAAUCAGUAAAAACACAGAAACCACUAAUCCCAUACCCUACCUUCUCCCUCUCUUCUACUCUAGUACUCCUAGUACUUCCCCUUCUCUCUCUCUCUCCUUUUCUUUCCCUUCUCUUCUUUAUCUUACGGAGAAGGGCCAAUAAACGCCGUAACGAGCUCUCCCUUAGAACGCCGUUACUUUCCCAAACCUCUUGACUCGCGUCACGUGCCUCUCUAAAUAUUGUUCCCUAUGGUUUUAGACCAGCAAUUAAACUUGCCACCAAAUACCGUUGACGGCCAGCCCACUAACGGCGUUGACACUCGCUCCGCUUCCAUCGAUGGCGGAGAUGACGGCAGUAAAGCCCCUAGACUCCCUCGAUGGAGUAGGCAAGAGAUUCUCGUCCUCAUCCAAGGUAAGAAAGUCGCCGAGAAUCGGGUCAGGAGAGGCCGGACGGCUAGCAUGGCUUUUGGCUCCGGUCAGGUCGAACCCAAGUGGGCAUCUGUCUCAUCGUACUGUAAAAGGCACGGGGUGAACCGGGG